UACAGAGGGUGCAAGCAUUAAUCGGAUUUAUUGGGCGUAAAGAGCGCGUAGGCGGGCUUUUAAGUCAGAUGUGAAAUCCCGGGGCUCAACCCCGGAACAGCAUUUGAAACUGGAAGUCUUGAGGGUAGUCGGAGAAAAUGGAAUUCCACGUGUAGCGGUGAAAUGCGUAGAUAUGUGGAAGAACACCGGUGGCGAAGGCGAUUUUCUAGAUUAUUCCUGACGCUGAUGCGCGAAAGCAAGGGGAUCAAACAGG
rnacentral:rRNA from 1 species